AGCGCUGUGGCUCAAUGGUAGAGCGCAUGCUAGCUCUCUAUGGGCUCUAAGAGCAUGAGAAGUUGGUUCAAAUCCAACCGAUGCUU